rnacentral:tRNA from 1 species
UGGGGAAUCGUCUAACGGCAGGACAGCGGACUCUGACUCCGUUAAUCUAGGUUCGAAUCCUAGUCUCCCAGCCA